rnacentral:rRNA from 1 species
UCCUACGGGUGGCAGCAGUAGGGAAUCUUCCGCAAUGGACGAAAGUCUGACGGAGCAACGCCGCGUGAGUGAUGAAGGCUUUCGGGUCGUAAAACUCUGUUGUUAGGGAAGAACAAGUGCUAGUUGAAUAAGCUGGCACCUUGACGGUACCUAACCAGAAAGCCGCGGCUAACUACGUGCCAGCAGCCGCGGUAAUACGUAGGUGGCAAGCGUUAUCCGGAAUUAUUGGGCGUAAAGCGCGCGCAGGUGGUUUCUUAAGUCUGAUGUGAAAGCCCACGGCUCAACCGUGGAGGGUCAUUGGAAACUGGGAGACUUGAGUGCAGAAGAGGAAAGUGGAAUUCCAUGUGUAGCGGUGAAAUGCGUAGAGAUAUGGAGGAACACCAGUGGCGAAGGCGACUUUCUGGUCUGUAACUGACACUGAGGCGCGAAAGCGUGGGGAGCAAACAGGAUUAGAUACCCUGGUAGUCCACGCCGUAAACGAUGAGUGCUAAGUGUUAGAGGGUUUCCGCCCUUUAGUGCUGAAGUUAACGCAUUAAGCACUCCGCCUGGGGAGUACGGCCGCAAGGCUGAAACUCAAAGGAAUUGACGGA